UUCCGGUUGAUCCUGCCAGAGGCGACCGCUUUUGGAGUUCGAUUAAGCCAUGCGAGUAGAAAGAAAUUAGAUUCUUUGCAAACUGCUCAGUAACACGUGGAUAACCUGCCCUAUGCUCCGGAAUAACCUCGGGAAACUGAGAAUAAUACCGGAUAGAUCACAACGCCUGGAACGGUGUGUGGUUCAAAGGUCACGGCAUAGGAUGGGUCUGCGGCGUAUCAGGUCGUAGGGGGUGUAACGGACCUCCUAGCCAUCGACGCGUACGGGUGUUGGGAGACAUAGCCCGGAGAUGGAUUCUGAGACACGAAUCCAGACCCUACGGGGUGCAGCAGGCGCGAAAACUUCACACUGCAGGAAACUGUGAUGAGGGAACUCCAAGUGCGCGCACUUAGUGUGCGCUUUUCUUGACUAUUAAUCGGUCAUGGAAUAAGGGCUGGGAAAGACCGGUGCCAGCCGCCGCGGUAAUACCGGCAGCUCAAGUGGUCGUCGCUUUUAUUGGGCCUAAAACGUCCGUAGCCUGUUUGGUAAAUCUGUGGGUAAAUCAACCAGCUUAACUGGUUGAAUUCUGCAGAGACUGCCAGACUAGGGACCGGGAGAGGUGUGGGGUACUCUAGGGGUAGGGGUAAAAUCCUGUCAUCCUUAGAGGACCACCAGUUGCGAAGGCGCCACACUGGAAACGGAUCCGACGGUCAGGGACGAAGCCUAGGGGCACGAACCGGAUUAGAUACCCGGGUAGUCCUAGGUGUAACGCUGUGAACUUGG
rnacentral:rRNA from 1 species